AGUGAACGCUGGCGGCGUGCUUAACACAUGCAAGUCGAACGAGAACGGAUUAUAGCUUGCUAUAAUUGUCAGCUAAGUGGCGCACGGGUGAGUAAUGUAUAGGUAAUAUGCCUCUUACUAAGGGAUAACAAAUGGAAACGUUUGCUAAUACCUUAUACUCCUUAUUAACAGAAGUUAAUAAGGGAAAGAUUUAUUGGUAAGAGAUUAGCCUGUAUUGUAUCAGUUAGUUGGUGGGGUAAUGGCUUACCAAGACUAUGACACAUAACUGGUUUGAGAGGAUGAGCAGUCACACUGGAACUGAGACACGGUCCAGACUCCUACGGGAGGCAGCAGUGGGUAAUAUUGCACAAUGGACGAAAGUCUGAUGCAGCAACGCCGCGUGGAGGAUGACACGUUUCGGUGCGUAAACUCCUUUUAUAUGAGAAGAUAAUGACGGUAUUAUAUGAAUAAGCACCGGCUAACUCCGUGCCAGCCGCCGCUGUAA
rnacentral:rRNA from 1 species